UACAGAGGUGGCAAGCGUUGUUCGGAUUUACUGGGCGUAAAGGGUGCGUAGGUGGUUUCGUAUGUCGGAUGUGAAAUGCCAUGGCUCAACCAUGGAAUUGCAUUCGAAACUGCGAGGCUGGAGUGCAGGAGAGGAGAGCGGAAUUCUUGGUGUAGCGGUGAAAUGCGUUGAUAUCAAGAAGAACACCGGUUGCGAAGGCGGCUCUCUGGAAUGCAACUGACACUGAGGCACGAAAGCUGGGGGAG
rnacentral:rRNA from 1 species